GUAAGUUUCUCAACAUUCCUUGUAGUUGUCAUAAGGAGUGUAACUAUGCAAAAAAUGAGAGGGGAAAUCUAUUAAUUGACAUCAAACAAAAAUAAGAUGGAAUCUCACGUUUUGUGUUAAGUUGUACCAGCAUAAUGUAGCUUGGGGAGCUACAAAGCUUGACAAAGACCCAAUUUAGGGUCGAAAUGUUGUUGUGUUAUUCUGCUGGUUCCAAUAAACGUGCCCUUAAGCCUGGAUCUUCUUUUUCUAUAUCUACAUUCUGAUGGGCGGCUGCUGGCCCAUGAUCUAGCUACAUACCGAAUCGG